AGUGGGGAAUAUUGCACAAUGGAGGAAACUCUGAUGCAGCAACGCCGCGUGGAGGAUGACACAUUUCGGUGCGUAAACUCCUUUUAUAUGGGAAGAUAAUGACGGUACCAUAUGAAUAAGCACCGGCUAACUCCGUGCCAGCAGCCGCGGUAAUACGGAGGGUGCAAGCGUUACUCGGAAUCACUGGGCGUAAAGCGCGCGCAGGCGGCCUGAUAAGUUGGAUGUGAAAGCCUACGGCUCAACCGUAGAACUGCAUCCAAAACUGUCAGGCUAGAGUGUGGGAGAGGAAGAUGGAAUUAGUUGUGUAGGGGUAAAAUCCGUAGAGAUAACUAGGAAUACCAAAAGCGAAGGCAAUCUUCUGGAACACUACUGACGCUGAGGCGCGAAGGCGUGGGGAGCAAACAGGAUUAGAUACCCUGGUAGUCCACGCAGUAAACGAUGAAUGUUAGUCGUCGGGGGCCUAGUGUCUUCGGUGAUGCAGCUAACGCAUUAAACAUUCCGCCUGGGGAGUACGGUCGCAAGAUUAAAACUCAAAGGAAUAGACGGGGACCCGCACAAGUGGUGGAGCAUGUGGUUUAAUUCGAAGAUACGCGAAGAACCUUACCUAGCCUUGACAUAUUUUAGAACUCCGUAGAGAUACAGAGGUGCCUUCGGGAGCUAAUUUACAGGUGCUGCACGGCUGUCGUCAGCUCGUGUCGUGAGAUGUUGGGUUAAGUCCCGCAACGAGCGCAACCCUCGUCACUAGUUACUAACGGUUCGGCCGAGGACUCUAGUGAGACUGCCUUCGUAAGGAGGAGGAAGGUGAGGACGACGUCAAGUCAUCAUGGCCCUUACGGCUAGGGCAACACACGUGCUACAAUGGCCAGGACAGUGAGACGCGAUACCGUGAGGUGGAGCAAAUCUAUAAACCUGGUCUCAGUUCGGAUUGUAGUCUGCAACUCGACUACAUGAAGCUGGAAUCACUAGUAAUCGUAGAUCAGGUAUGCUACGGUGAAUACGU
rnacentral:rRNA from 1 species